UACGUAGGGUGCAAGCGUUAAUCGGAAUUACUGGGCGUAAAGCGUGCGCAGGCGGUGAUGUAAGACAGGUGUGAAAUCCCCGGGCUUAACCUGGGAACUGCAUUUGUGACUGCAUCGCUGGAGUGCGGCAGAGGGGAUGGAAUUCCGCGUGUAGCAGUGAAUGCGUAGAUAUGCGGAGGAACACCGAUGGCGAAGGCAAUCCCCUGGGCCUGCACUGACGCUCAUGCACGAAGCGUGGGAGCAACAGG
rnacentral:rRNA from 1 species